rnacentral:rRNA from 1 species
GACGAACGCUGGCGGCGUGCUUAACACAUGCAAGUCGAACGGAAAGGCCCUGCAUUUGUGGGGUGCUCGAGUGGCGAACGGGUGAGUAACACGUGAGUAGCCUGCCCUUGACUUUGGGAUAACUUCAGGAAACUGGGGCUAAUACCGGAUAGGAGCUCCUGCUGCAUGGUGGGGGUUGGAAAGUUUCGGCGGUUGGGAAUGGACUCGCGGCUUAUCAGCUUGUUGGUGGGGUAGUGGCUUACCAAGGCUUUGACGGGUAGCCGGCCUGAGAGGGUGACCGGCCACAUUGGGACUGAGAUACGGCCCAGACUGCUACGGGAGGCAGCAGUGGGGAAUAUUGCACAAUGGGCGGAAGCCUGAUGCAGCAACGCCGCGUGCGGGAUGACGGCCUUCGGGGUGGAAACCGCUUUCGCCUGUGACGAAGCGUGAGUGACGGUAAUGGGUAAAGAAGCACCGGCUAACUACGUG